GUUGUCCCAGUAAAGUGCUUCUCUUUGGAUUCACGGAUAGUUCUCAGCUGUGGGCUUCAGCUGAAAUGCCAGAAAACAGGUGAUGUUCCACUUGAUAUCUGCAGAGACAGCUCCUGCCCUCACAAAGCUGCUUGGGUGACAGGACAGCUUGAGAGAAGACAGCGCGGCUGGGCUGUGCCCAGAAGGAAUCCACAGAGUGACGUGGCCGAGGGUGACUGAGGGGGAUUUAGGUGGGCGCAGUGCUGGAGUGGCUGCCCAGAGGAGAGAUGGUUCAUUUUGACCGAGGCCCGUCUGGUGGUUCGUUGCUGUGAUGUAUUUCGGCAUCAUCGACGCAGGUUCACCAGCCUCAUCUCGACCUUGGAAAUGUUGCGGUAUUUUACAGUGUGUGGUGACAUUUAUGGGCCCAUUUGGACACCCACAAAGAGGUUGAUUUCCAUAGAUUAAAUGUCAAGUUUGAAGCCAUCCAGGGUAAUUGAAUCCUUGAAUGUUGUCCACUUCGAUUCUCAGCUGGGGCCGUUGACUGGACAUUUGUGCUCUGUUACAAACUCUUGAGUGCAGCCCAAAUUGCUUAAUGCCAAAAGGUCACUCUGUGAGUCCAGGGGGAGGGUGUCGGUAGGGAGGACCAUGGCACUGGAGUUUGAUACCUGCAGAAAUGUUGCCUUGUUUUUAUUUCUUUAAAUGAAAGCACAUAUGUGGUUAGUUGGUGAAUACAUUACCGGGGACAGAAGAAAAAAAACCCCACCAACUAAGACUUCCUAGAUGUCAGUUAGUUUAAAAUAUCUAACCAUCUAUGUUUUGUCAAGAGCAAAAGGCUAAAAAGAACUUCACUGUAAUGUUUUAAGUAGGAAUAGUUUUAAACGGCAUUAAACACAUAUACAUAAACUUGGCAUGAGCGUCAUUUAAAUUGAAGGGUAGCAAAAAAGCAUCAAAUAAUUUCUGAGAUAUUGAAACGUAUUCACCUGCUGAUUGUCCAGAGAACAUGUGUGUCUUCAGACUUUGGAUCUGAGUGUCUUGAAUUUUUGUCCUCACAAGGAACUGGAGUUAAAUGGAUCCAAUACGGGUACACCCACACCCAUUUCCUCCACUGGUACGCUGUGGCCAGGAGGCGCGGGCCAGCCUCAGAGGCCUUCCUCACUGGGAUUUCUGGCUUUCUGCAGGUUCAGCUGUCCACACGGUGGCAUGGCUUUCUCAGCUCCA
rnacentral:lncRNA from 1 species